rnacentral:rRNA from 1 species
AAAAACAUAACCUUUAGCCAAACAAAUAUUAAAGGCAACGCCUGCCCAGUGAACAAUUAAACGGCCGCGGUACCCUAACCGUGCAAAGGUAGCAUAAUCAUUUGUCUACUAAUUAUAGACCUGUAUGAAAGGCAAAAUGAGGGCUAAACUGUCUCUUACAGUUAAUCAAUUAAACUGAUCUACUAGUAAAAAAGCUAGAAUAAUAACACAAGACCAGAAGACCCUGUGAAGCUUAAACUAAACUAUUAAAACAAAUAAUAACUAAUUUCGGUUGGGGCGACCUUGGAAAAAAAAGAAACUUCCAAACAAAAUGACUCUACCUCAUAAACUUCAGGCCAACAAGCCAACUAACAGACCCAGUAAAACUGAUAAUUGAACCAAGUUACUCCAGGGAUAACAGCGCAAUCUUCCUCAAGAGCCCAUAUCAAAAGGAAGGUUUACGACCUCGAUGUUGGAUCAGGACAUCCUAAUGGUGCAGCCGCUAUUAAGGGUUCGUUUGUUCAACGAUUAACAGUCCUACAUGAUCUGAUUUCAGACCGG